UUCAAAAUUCAUAAUUGUGGAAGGCUUGAGAAAAGGAAGAGAAAAGAAAACCACUCUAAAAUGGGAAAUUGGUGAACUCCGAACAGAUCUGAGAUUCUGAAGGUCUUGCAGAACAUCGGAACAGAGAAAUCCUCAACAUCCAAGAGGUUGCCGAUGAACGAAAUUAUUAAUCUAUAUCGUUUGAAUGGUAUGACCUUUAAUUUUAUGCAAAUUCUUGAAGUCUUUAAGAUAAUAAUCUGCCGAUCAAGCUUUUUUACUGUUUAGAUCGGCCGUCGAUCUAACAAUGAAGAUGACGGUGUCACCGGAGGCUGCCGUUCGGCGACCCCAAAGCAGCCAGUUUGCAGUUUUCCAGAAAUUAAUACCAUAUAUAUAUAUAUAUUAGAUUUUUAAUUUAAUUAGAUUUUUAUUUUAGAAAACAGGAAUUUAGCUUCUUCAUUUGUAGAUUUGCAGAGCACCUCAAAAACUUAGAACAAUUUGCAUAGAUCUAAAGGUAUUGUCAUCCAAACGGUCUAAAUUAAUCAUUAACGAAUUUCGUUCAUUGGCGGCCUCUUGGGAUGUUUGAUCGUCUUUGUCUCCGUGUUCUGCAAAGUCUUGAGAAUCUCACUUAUCUGUUUGAGAAUUAGUCAAUUUCCCAUUUUCGAGUGGUUUUGUUUUCUUCUUCCUGAAGAAGAAAGGGGCCCUUUAUAUAGAUCUGAUGAUGAGGGGUUAAUGCCACUUGGAGCCUAAAUUUGCCGCUGCAUACGUGAUUUGAUGGUAUGAGGACGAGCAUAUGAUUUGUGAUUUGAUGGGAGAAUGAGGUAAAUGCAUAUGGGUUGACCUUGGCAAGUUGUUGAAAUUGUAGUUGGAACAUUGGUGUGCUUUUUUGUUUUUAUAUUGGUUCAAUAAAUUGAUCUGUUGAGAUUGCGGAGACUUUAUGUUAGGAAUAAUAAUAAUUCAUAAGCACUUCUGGUAGUAGAUAAUAAUAAACCUGUUUUUUCAUUUUUUUGGUAAGAAUAUGAUGAUUAUGGUGUGUGUAUCUGAAAAAACAGCUGGAAAGGCACUCCCUAUUCUAAAUGGGUAGAAGUGAGCUGUUGGUUUCUGUGUUGAAGACAUUUGGGAUAAACGUACAUGCAAUAAAAUCCUUCACAAGCUGAGUAUCAUGGCUUUAUCAUUUAUGCUGGUGGUGUCUUUUUUCCUUCUUGUUUUAUACAUUUUUCCAUGUGCAGUUGCACAGUUUUGGGACUAUUUGAUGCUAUUUUCUUUUAAAUAUGUAAACUAAGUGUUCACUAGGUUUUGUGACUUGGUUUUCAUCAGGAAACAAAAUCUUGUGUAAACACUCAGAAACUGCUGCGUUGGUCUACUACACUGCAUGGUUGUUGAAUUUGAUAUCAAAAUUAAUGUCGUUUAUAUUCAAUGUUUGGCUCUGGAGAGUGUUGAAGAAGCUUUGAUAAGACUUAAAAAAUUGCAUUUGGCAAGUUCUACUUCUGGAAAGAGCAAUUGAAUGCUGCUUGUUCUGACCUUGAGAAAAGAAGAAAACUUUAGAAAGAGACUUGAGUUCCUAUAGGCAUCUUUCAGUCCGAAAGCAGCUUCUCGCAAGCAGGCAUCUUUCAGUCCGAAAGCAGCUUCUCGCAAGCAGGCAUCUGUCAGACCAAAAGCGUUCUUUAUUUGCUUAUUUUUCCAGUUGAGACAUUGAUUUUCUCUUAAAAGCCAAUAUUUGUUGGACUUCAAAAUAACUGCUUUUCAUGAUCUGUC